CUCAGUCGUGCCCCGCCCCUUUCAUUGAUUGUUCCACAGCUCCGGGCUCCCCCGGGUCCUAAACCCCGCCCACACGUUGUUGUCCAGCCCCACUGACCUCCUCUGGCAGCUUGUUCCAUUUCCCCACGACCUUCUGUGUGAAAAUAUUGUUCCUCAGGUUCCGAUUAAAUCUUGCACCUCUCACCACAAACCUGUGUCCUCUAGUUCCCGACUCCACUACUCCGGGUAAAAGACUGUGCAUUCACCCUAUCCAUUCACCUCUUGAUCCCAUGAACUUCAGCCUCCGGCGCUCCAAUUAAUUACUGCAGGGCGUCAGCAGUUUCAGCGAUUGGGAAUGCGUUUUGAACCAGGAAGUGGAGGUUAAAAUGGCUGCGAAAGACCAGGUCGAGAGUUUAACCGAGGAGAUAGUUUGUCCCAUCUGCCUGGAUUUCUUCACCGAUCCGGUAUCACUGGAGUGCGGGCACAACUUCUGCCGCUCCUGUAUCACACAGAGUUGGGACAGGGAGGGGAGAAACUCCUGCCCGGAAUGUAGAGAGGAGUUUACAGACCGCACCCUCAGGGUGAAUCGGGCCUUGGCGAGACUGUCUGAGAAAGCUCGAACACUGAGCCUGAAUCGGACAGAGAAGGAAAGUAAACUUCAGUGCGAGGAACAUCAGGAAGAACUGAAGCUGUUUUGUGAAACUGACAAGAAGCUGAUCUGUGUGAUUUGUGCAGGUGGGCGGGAACACAGAGAUCACCGCUUCAUGCUGGUGGAUGAAGCUGUUGAAACCUACAAGGAUCAGGCGAAAUCUUCCAUCCAGUCUCUCACAAAAAAGAAAUCAGAGAUCCAGCGAAUGGAGCAGCAACAGAAACAGAAGAUUUCUGGAGUUCUGGAACAAUCACACAACCUUCAGUCCAAGAUCACAUCCCAGUAUGCUGAACUGCACCAGAUUCUCACUGAGAAAGAGCAGCGCACACUGGCAGAUAUCCGGGAGGAAGAGAAGAAGAUUCUGAAUACAAUGGAGAAAAAUCUUGGAAAGAUUCAAGAGAAUUUAAAUUCCAUUCAGGAGGAACUCUUAAAGUUGCAGCAACAGAUGGAUCAAAAAGACAGUGUGGUGUUUCUGAAGGAGGAAACUGGUCGCAAGCAAAGGGUUCGUGAUGAAGCCAAACCACUGUCGGUGGUAGAUGAAGCCUUGCCGAUUGAAAAGUUUCAUUGCCCUGUUUCGUUCAACACAGCAUUCAAAGAAACAUCUGAUGACUUCAAGCAAGUCUCCGUCACCCUGGAUGUGGAAACAGCGCAUGCGCGGCUCGAGGUGUCUGAGGAUCGGAAGAGGGUGAGAUGGACCGGGACCGGAGGAGUCUCCCUGACACCGGGAAGAGGUUUACAGGCUGGGCGUGUGUGCUGGGAUCGGAGGGAUUCACAUCGGGGAGACAUUACUGGGAGGUGGAGGUGGCGGGGAGUCAGUACUGGAGUCUGGGAGUCGCCGCAGAGUCUGUGGAGAGGAAGAGACCGGUCACACUGACCCCGGAGACUGGAGUCUGGAGCAUCAGGCGGUGGGGUGACAGGUUUGAUGCAUUCACCUCCCCUCCAUCCCCUCUCCCCGCCCGUCCCAUCCCCGGGAGGGUGGGAGUUUAUCUCAGUUACGAGUCCGGGACAGUUUCAUUUUACGACGCGGACACCAAGUCCCAUCUCCACACCUUCACUGGGAAUAAAUUCACGGAGAAACUUUAUCCUUUCUUCUGGACUUGGGAUGGAAAAACUGGCUGAGAAUCUGCUCCGGUUCCGCUCCGGGUGUGUAAAAAAAAAUGUAAAUGUGGGAAGAGUGAAAUAAACAGCAACUGAAAUCA